rnacentral:tRNA from 1 species
ACCUGAGUGGCUCAGUGGUUGAGCAUCUGCCUUCAGCUCAGGGUGUGAUCCUGAGGUCCUGGGAUCAAGUCCCACAUCAGGUU